CCCUUAGAUGUUCUGGGCCGCACGCGCGCUACACUGACGAAUGCAACGAGCUUAUAACCUUGGCCGAAAGGUCUGGGUAAUCUCCAAAUUUCGUCGUGAUGGGGAUAGAUUAUUGCAAUUAUUAAUCUUCAACGAGGAAUGCCUAGUAAGCGCAAGUCAUCAGCUUGCGUUGAUUACGUCCCUGCCCUUUAUACACACCGCCCGUCGCUCCUACCGAUUGAAUGGUCCGGUGAAGCGUUCGGACCGUGGCCUUUGGACGGUUCGCCGUCUGUUGGCUGCGGGAAGUUCGUUAAACCUUAUCAUUUAGAGGAAGGAGAAGUCGUAACA
rnacentral:rRNA from 1 species